ensembl:lncRNA
GCAUUAUAGGGUCGUAUGGGGCCCUUAUGGGGUCAUAUGGGGUUGUUAUGGGGUCAUUAUGGGAUAUGGGGCCACAGGGAUUUGGGAUGUGGGGGUCUCAAGUCCCUGCUACGUCCUGAUCGACCUGUAUGGGCAGUGCCAGCAGGUGGGCGUUAUAGGGUCGUGUAGAGCCCUUAUGGGGUCAUAUGGGGUCGUUGUGGGGUCAUAUGGGGUCGUUAUGGGGUGUGGGAUUGUGGGGAUAUGGGAUAUGGAGGUCCCACAGUCCUGGUCGACCUGUAUGGGUAGUGCCAGCAGGUGGGCGUUAUAGGGCCCUAUAGGGCCCUUAUGGGGUCAUAUGGGGUCAUAUAGGGUCGUUAUGGGGUCAUUGUGGGGCGUAGGGCCGUGAGGAUAUGGGAUAUGGCGGUCCCACAGCCCUGCUACGUCCUGAUCGACCUGUAUGGGCAGUGCCAGCAGGUGGGCGUUAUAGGG